UACGAAGGGUGCAAGCGUUAUUCGGAAUUAUUGGGCGUAAAGCGCGCGCAGGCGGAUUGAUAAGUCAGGUGUGAAAUCUCGAGGCUCAACCUCGAAACUGCGCCUGAAACUAUUAGUCUAGAGUGUUGGAGGGGGUAGGGGAAUUUCACGUGUAGGGGUAAAAUCCGUAGAGAUGUGAAGGAACACCGGAGGCGAAGGCGCCUACCUCGGACAACUACUGACGCUGAGGCGCGAAAGCGUGGGGAGCAAACAGG
rnacentral:rRNA from 1 species